UUCCAGUUGGUCCGCCGCAAGGUGUGUUACUGACUGGUUUGCUCUUCUUCGCAAAGACUGCGUGUGCUCUUGAGUGAGUGUGCGUAGGAUUUACGACGUUUACUUUGAAAAAAUUAGAGUGUUCAAAGCAGGCUAUUGCUUGAAUACAUGAGCAUGGAAUAAUGGAAUAGGACUUUGGUCCCAUUUUGUUGGUUUCUAGGGA
rnacentral:rRNA from 1 species